AACGUAGGCCGCAAGCGUUAUCCGGAAUUACUGGGCGUAAAGCGCGUGUAGGCGGGGAUGUAAGUCUGUCGUGAAAGCUCCCGGCUAAACUGGGAGAGGUCGAUGGAAACUACAGGUCUGGGGUUUGGCAGAGGAAUGUGGAAUUCCGCGUGUAGUGGUGAAAUGCGUAGAGAUGCGGAGGAACACCAGUGGCGAAGGCGGCAUUCUGGGCCCCAACUGACGCUGAGACGCGAAAGCAUGGGUAGCGAACGGG
rnacentral:rRNA from 1 species